GCCAAAAAUUUAGCCAACCACCCCAAUCAAUUCAAAGAUAAACUAAAACAUCUAACAAAUUUAGUAACGGCGAUUGAAAAAUUUACUAGAGCUACAAAUAUGUACCGCAAGGGAAAAAUGAAAUAAUAAUGAAAAACCUUAAGCACAAAAAAGUAGAGCCUCAACCUCGUACCUUUUGCAUCAUGAUUUAACUAGUCAUUAAUAGGCAAAAAGACUUUCAGUCUAUCCCCCCGAAACCAAGUGAGCUACUUAGGGGCAGCUUAAUGAGCCCAUCCGUCUCUGUUGCAAAAGAGUGGAGAGACCCCACAGUAGCGGUGACAUACCUAACGAACCUGGUGAUAGCUGGUUGCCCAGAAAAAGAACAUUAGUUCCGCCCAAAGUUUUCACAACCUAUGAAGUAACCACAAGACUUUGGAGUAACUCAAAUAGGGUACAGCCUAUUUGAAACAGGAUACAACCUAAAUUAACGGGUAAUUACGAAUACACAAAUAACCCAGUAGGCCUAAAAGCAGCCACCAUAAAAAGCGUCAAAGCUUACUAACCACAACAAAAAUCCCACAAACAAUGCCGAACCCUCUCCCACUACUGAGCACUUCUAUACCAAUAUUGAACCUUUAAUGUUAAAACUAGUAACAAGAAACAAAUUUUCUCCUAAUGUAAACUUAAGCCAGACAGAACCCCACACUGACACUUAACGACUUUAAAGCCACAGUAACAACACCCAAGAAAAAUCUACUUCUUUUCCCGUCAAACUAACACAAGAACAUUAACAGAAAGAUUAAAAGAAGAAGAAGGAACUCGGCAAAUACAGAUCUCGCCUGUUUACCAAAAACAUCGCCUCUUGUAAUUAAUAAGAGGUCCAGCCUGCCCAGUGAUUUAUUCAACGGCCGCGGUAUCCUAACCGUGCAAAGGUAGCACAAUCACUUGUUUUCUAAAUAAAGACUAGUAUGAACGGCAUCACGAAAAUCUAACUGUCUCCUCCCUCUAAUCAGUGAAACUAAUCCCCCCGUGAAGAAGCGGGGAUACCCCUAUAAGACGAGAAGACCCUAUGGAACUUUAAAUAAAUAGCACACAACCACUCUUCCCAAGUUUCUAAACUUUAUCCCCCUCUUACCCACUGUCUAUUAACUUUUCGGUUGGGGCGACCUUGGAGAACAACCCACCCUCCAAAUUGAGAGACAAAAACUUACAAUUUUAUGUAUCAACACAUUGACACCUAUUGACCCAGUAACCUGAUCAAUGAACCAAGCUACCCUAGGGAUAACAGCGCAAUCUUCUCCGAGAGCCCGUAUCAACGAGCAGGUUUACGACCUCGAUGUUGGAUCAGGGUAACCCAGUGGUGCAGCAGCUACUAAAGGUUCGUUUGUUCAACGAUUAAAACCCUACGUGAUCUGAGU
rnacentral:rRNA from 1 species